AUUGAACGCUGGCGGCAGGCUUAACACAUGAAAGUCGAGCGAGCGGCGGACGGGUGAGUAAUGUCUGGGAAACUGACUGAUGGAGGGGGAUACCUAAUGGAAAAGGUAGCUAAUACCGCAUACCAUCAGAUGUGCCCAGAUGGGAUUAGCGAGUAGGUGGGGUAAUGUCUCACCUAGGCGACGAUCCCUAGCUGGUCUGAGAGGAGGACCAGCCACACUGGAACGGAGACACGGUCCAGACUCCUACGGGAGGCAGCAGUGGGGAAUAUUGCACAAUGGGCACAAGCCUGAUGCAGCCAUGCCGCUUGUGUGAAGAAGGCCUUCGGGUUGUAAAGCACUUUCAGCGAGGAGGCGUUACUCGCAGAAGAAGCACCGGCUAACUCCGUGCCAGCAGCCGCGGUAAUAC
rnacentral:rRNA from 1 species